rnacentral:lncRNA from 1 species
CCCAGUUGUUUUUCAUCUGACAUUCCCUGAGAAACCUUGUCUACUCCACCAGUGCUAGAUAGAGUACAUAUUUUCAAGUCUCUAAAAUAGAGAUUCAUCUUAAAAAUGACAGUCUCAAUGUACUAUGGACCAGAGUUAGCCAUAGUGUGAUUGUUCUCAGGACACUUUCUAGGAUUUGGGAGGAAAACCUUCCCCUGACCUCUCCCCAUGACAUCCUCAGCCUCUGCCCUUGCAGAGGGACUGUCACUAGGAUGAUGAGCUCAUUUCAUGGGGAGUAAUGAAUGCAGGGCUUUCUAGGAAACUUCUAAUUGGCCCUAAGAGUGAUGAUACAUUGGAAAUGACAGACAUGAUGCAUAGCCUGUUUUUAUCUCCUUAAUUUUCUCUCAUCUUACCUUGCUUCCUUUAUUAUCAGUAGACGUUUCUGAUGCAUAGUAAUCACAACUGAACUGCAGGUUGGUACAAAUCCCUGUGGCAUCUUGAGCCUUUUCCACCCUUCCAGCCUCCUCCCACUCAGCCCUCGCACAGCUUUGAAGGGAAUUGUCUGAUAAGUUUCAUUUUUUUAUUGUUAAUGCUUGGGGUGGGAGUUCACAUGCAUUUUCACAUUGAUCAUAUAUAUCUCAACGUGCUUGGAUUUAGUAUUCAGUUGUAACACAAUUUUUGUUUGUUCCUUUGCAUUUUUUAUAGACAAGAUUAUGUUUGGAGCCAAUAGAUGUUGUUUGGCUUGUUUUCACAUGGAAAAUCAUAAGAAAUAUGAUGCCUUCUAUUUCCUUUUCUCUUCUGAUAGCUCUGAUGGCAGCCUCCAGUACAAUGUUGAGUAGAAGUGGCAAGAAUGAGCAUCUUUCUCUGAUUUUCUAUGUUCAAAAAACAGUGAAUUCUAAUCACAGUCACAGGAGCACAGAAUAGGACCCUUCUCCAUGUGAGCCUUCAGUGCACAGUCAAGCCCUGACCAUGACCACAUCUGGAUUCCUCACCCCGAAGAAGCUUACAGUGUUUGUUAGAGAACAACAGAGGAAUCAAGAGAAGGAGGAAGAGAAGAAGAAAAGCAGGAAGGGAGAAAAGAAAUAAUGAAGCGCUGCCACCAUGUGAGCAACUUCCCUCAGCCAAGACCCACCCUUCCUUGGAGCUCCCCACCUUAGGCUGAAAACGUGAGCCAGGCUGACCCUGAACUCCAGGGCUGAAGUGAUCCUCCUGCCUCCAGCUCCAAAGUAGCAGAAUCUCCAGAUUUUCCCUGCCUAAUACGGGCCCAGAAAGCCUAUAGCCCAGGUGCUGACCCUACAGAUGUGUUUCAGCCCCGCCCACAGAAGCAGCAGGAGGGCUCUUUCUCUGGACUUUGUUCAACGUGAUUAUCACAGAACCAGUUUUCCCGUCCUUCUGAGUUGUCCUCAGAUUUUGCUUCUUGUUACUGUCACAGCACCGGCUCUGCCUUCCUGCAUUGCUCAGUGGCCUCCCACCCUGUCGAAGUCCACAGUCUGGGGUGGGUGUUAAAUGUUCCAUGUACAGCACUCUCAUUGUAUGAGUAGAAAAUAGGUGGCUUAAGUGGUGGCAGUUGUUGCUGUUGUUGCUGUUUGUUGUUGUUGCUGUUUUGUUGGGAAAAAAUCUCUUUCCCCAUUGUACCACUGCUCACCAGCUCUAAAGGCAUGUGUGUAGGUGUAUGGCAAUUAUUAAAUUUCAACCUGUUCUGUGCUCACCUUGAAUGCUUGGACUGGAAAUGUCUCACUUCACCAUGCCCAGAGGGGAAGAAAGUGUAACUGUGGAUCUACUCACCGAUGGGCCCUGUUGCUCCUUCCCUCAGUCCCAAGAUGGUGUGUGCCCUGAGUCUGCGGAGCCACCAGCUUCCUGUCUUCAGCCUGCUAAUGCCUGACUUUCUGCCUCACAUCAUGACGGUGUCACUCACUCUCCUCAAAUAUUAUUCUCCAGUGUGAAAAACCACAGCCAACUUAUACUUGGUGGUGUGGAUCUUCCCGGAGCCCCUGCAGCAUUUCUGAAGGUAUAUAUUGAAAGUUCCAAUUUGACCAGACCACUUCUCCAACCUUGCGGAAGAACUCUUAGCUUCGCAAAAGGAGCUCUAUACAGUACAUUUAAACUUUCAGAAAAGAUAGAUCAGAGAGAAAUAAGUGGGUCAAAGAUUGUUUUGAUUUCCUGUGUAGUUCUGAUUAGUGCUGAUGUAUUGUUUUUGACCACUCCAUGAGUAUGGGGCAGGAUGACUUUAAUGGAGCAGUUCUACUGCUAAGGGUUUUAACCCUUUUUUGCCAUUGUGUAACCACUGCAUUUUUAAAUAUCUGAUGCAUUCAGUAGACCCAUUCCAUAGGAAAUUAUUUGUACAUACACAAUUUUGUGAUACUAGGAAUUGAACCCAGGAAUGCUCUUUCACUAAACUAUAUCUUGAGCCUUUUAUUUAUUUUAUUAUUUUUUAUGUCAAGACAGGAUUUUGCUGUUCCUAAUACUGUAAUUGAAUUUGCAAUCCUCUUUCUUCAGCUACCUGACAGGCUUGACUACAACAUACACCACUGCGCCUGGCUUCCAAAACACACAUUUUACAAAAGAUUCAUGAUCUAUGUAGAACCAGAGUUAAACUCCCUAGUCAAGACUAACUGAAUCUAUUCAAAAACCUCACUCGUUUGCAUGUAAACAGGUAGUCCUUCUCAUAGUUAUCAUAUAGAAAUUCUACCUGAUGAAUUUCUUUUUAAUUUUGAACUUCUGAAAUCAUAAAGAUAUAUAAAUAUUAAAUUUUAUACUGCAUUCUUGUUCAAUUUGUGCCAUAAAAUUAUCUUUAUUUACUUACUUCCCAAUCUUAGAAAUUUUAUUAGUAGUAUAUGUUGUG